AAUCCUCUUUCUUUCCUUUCCUUUCCUCUCUCUUCUUUCUCCAUCUCCUCACCAUUUUCUUUCUGGAACUCUCCCCUUUCUUCCUGUCAAACCCUUUUUCUUGGUGAGAUUGAGACAAAAUCAGAUCAAUCCCUUGUAUCUGGGUCAGAUGAUAAGCAGUUUGUUUCUGUUAAAUGUAAAGCCAAACACGGAGGGCUAAAUGAUAAGCUUUUCUUCUCUGGUUCUAUUCAGUUUAAUUUUGAAGGGAUGUAUGAUAGAGUUAAAUUCAUCAGUCUUGUCCAAAAGACUGGUAUGUAUGUAAUCCUCAGGAGCGGACCAUUCAUUGAAGCCGAAUGGAACUUCAGAGGAUUACCAUACUGGCUUUAAGAGAUUUCGGGAAUGACAUUCCGUUCAGGCGAAGACAACUUCAAGGACCCAAAUUUAUCAUUUUUGGAGUGAAGAACCAGAUCUGGUAUUAGAUAAGUUCGAUCAGAGGAACCUUAAUCCCAUUCAAUCCCUGUAAAUACUACCACCAUUACUGAUCCAUUACCAACUUGCCAAGAUGAACAAAAAGGGACAGAAUGUUGGUCUUUACAUCCCUAGGUCUAAAGAAGGUUAACAAGGACAAGAGUUUCAUGCCUUUCUAGAGGAUGAAGCCUGGUUCAAUCUGAGAGUGUCAAUUGGCAGCUGCAGAUCAAUUGCUUUCUUAUUUGAGUGGCCAGUUCUGAUGCGGGAGAGGGUGAAUAAGUAUGUUAUGCUGAACCCCCCAACAAAAUUUCUUUGGGUAGUUGGUGGUACUAUAUGGUGCUUCUUUCAGUAAAUUCAGGGUUUAAGCAGUGGCCUGAAGGGAUGUUUUGUGUAGAGGUGGUGUGGCUGACCCUCUCACGAGGGAGCACAAUGCUCGACAAGAAGAUGAGCAGAACAGAAAAUGUAGCAAGACAUGGGAAGACAACUUUGCAGCGUAUGAGAACCAGUAUUUAAUUCAAGAAGAUUUACAGAGCUGGAGUUAUAAUACAUACAGUUGCUACCUAAGGGGACAGAGGGACUGUCAUUAGGGAAACUUAGCAGGUAUAGAUCCAGAUCCCGACUCUCAAUUGCUACCAAUCCGAAAAUGCAGUCUAGGUCUGGCAUAUCCUCCGAGUCUCUUAGAAUAUUAGUCAGCUUUUAUUUUUGAUGUACAUCGACUUCGUUGUAUGCGAGCACAACACAGAAAUAUGUUCCAAGUAUUUUGAUGUCUUGUUUGUGGAUGGAUUCUUUAGUUGGUGUUUUGGAUAUUUUCAGUAUUCAUGAUAUUUAAAUAUUAUUUUCA